rnacentral:rRNA from 1 species
ACGAACGCUGGCGGCGUGCUUAACACAUGCAAGUCGAACGGAAAGGCCCUGCUUUUGUGGGGUGCUCGAGUGGCGAACGGGUGAGUAAUACGUGAGUAACCUGCCCUUGACUUUGGGAUAACUUCAGGAAACUGGGGCUAAUACCGGAUAGGAGCUCCUGCUGCAUGGUGGGGGUUGGAAAGUUUCGGCGGUUGGGGAUGGACUCGCGGCUUAUCAGCUUGUUGGUGGGGUAGUGGCUUACCAAGGCUUUGACGGGUAGCCGGCCUGAGAGGGUGACCGGCCACAUUGGGACUGAGAUACGGCCCAGACUCCUACGGGAGGCAGCAGUGGGGAAUAUUGCACAAUGGGCGGAAGCCUGAUGCAGCAACGCCGCGUGCGGGAUGACGGCCUUCGGGUUGUAAACCGCUUUCGCCUGUGACGAAGCGUGAGUGACGGUAAUGGGUAAAGAAGCACCGGCUAACUACGUG